CUCACGCUGGACGUGAGAGCCCACGGGAUCCUUCUGCUUCAGCAUCCCCGGGGCUGGGUUAGGAGGACGCAACAGCACGCCUGGCUGCUCCGGUCUUCUUACUGGAUGCGGUGGGCUCUUCCCCUGCGUCGCUGUUCCAAAGGGGGUCACCAGUCAGCUAAGCCAGUUGCAGUUGAUUCGCCAUGGACAAAUCCCCGUGAGAGAGCGUCACAAGUCCAGGCAAGGCCAGGACACAACAGAAGAGUGAGCGACCCUGCCGUUGUGAGAGGCCAAGAAAACACGUGCCAAGGAGAGUCACAUGACUGAUGAAUAAACGUACUUUCUGGUGUUGAGGCAGAGAAACCUCAGGACUUCAGACUGUAAGCACCUUGUGUUCCCUCCUCAAAAGCUGCAAAUCUGUCUUUCAACACUUCAGUAUUGCUAGAAGGAACUAUUACCUGGAGUCCUGCGACCCCCUUGGUUACCGUCUUGUUUGGCAUGAGACGUGCAUAGGACGUUAGUAAAGCGUCCUGCUGGAGUGUCUGGUUGCAUCGUGGAGGGGUGUCGUUUGGAACCUCAUCUUUUCCCUCCCCCUUCCUCUGCGGCACCUGUUUUGCUCUAUUCUUCCUGGUUCUCAGGUAGCAGUUAUGUUUCUUCAUUUCCUUCCACUGUGCUAUUUCUCUGUUGAGGUCAAGUAACAGCUGAAAUCAAUCUCUGAAUGAGCUAAAAUAAUCUUUUUAAGUCCUGUAUGUCAUGCAUUUUGUAUUUACAACAAAAAAAUCAUGAAAAUUAACAUUGGUUGUCUGAGCAAAAUAAACUGCUGAAUGUGUCAACCCUUGCUCUAUAAGUUUACGUAAA